rnacentral:lncRNA from 1 species
GACGAGGACAUUCUAACCGGAAGAGGAGGACAGGAGGGGUUUAAGACAAAAACAAAAACAGGAAGCUCGAAACGACGACGUCGGCUGGGUUUUGUUGCGGUGUCUGAGGCUGCAUUGCCGCACCUCCGCCCGCGCGCGCAAGCAAUCCCAACGCGUCGCGUCUCUUUCCGGCCGACGUGUCUCGCGUGACGUCUUAGAGAGAGAACCGAAACAGAAAGCGACGGAAAGAAAAAAACACACGAAACGCCUUACGCGAAACGUUUCCGUC